rnacentral:rRNA from 1 species
AGCGAACGCUGGCGGCAGGCUUAACACAUGCAAGUCGAGCGGGCACUUCGGUGUCAGCGGCAGACGGGUGAGUAACACGUGGGAACGUACCCUUCGGUUCGGAAUAACGCUGGGAAACUAGCGCUAAUACCGGAUACGCCCUUUUGGGGAAAGGUUUACUGCCGAAGGAUCGGCCCGCGUCUGAUUAGCUAGUUGGUGGGGUAAUGGCCUACCAAGGCGACGAUCAGUAGCUGGUCUGAGAGGAUGAUCAGCCACACUGGGACUGAGACACGGCCCAGACUCCUACGGGAGGCAGCAGUGGGGAAUAUUGGACAAUGGGCGCAAGCCUGAUCCAGCCAUGCCGCGUGAGUGAUGAAGGCCUUAGGGAUGUAAAGCUCUUUUGUCCGGGACGAUAAUGACGGUACCGGAAGAAUAAGCCCCGGCUAACUUCGUG